GCCAGACUCCUACGGGAGGCAGCAGUGGGGAAUAUUGCACAAUGGGGGAAACCCUGAUGCAGCAACGCCGCGUGAGUGAUGACGGCCUUCGGGUUGUAAAGCUCUGUCUUCAGGGACGAUAAUGACGGUACCUGAGGAGGAAGCCACGGCUAACUACGUGCCAGCAGCCGCGGUAAUACGUAGGUGGCGAGCGUUGUCCGGAUUUACUGGGCGUAAAGGGAGCGUAGGCGGACUUUUAAGUGAGAUGUGAAAUACUCGGGCUCAACUUGAGUGCUGCAUUUCAAACUGGAAGUCUAGAGUGCAGGAGAGGAGAAUGGAAUUCCUAGUGUAGCGGUGAAAUGCGUAGAUAUCAGGAGGAACACCGGUGGCGAAGGCGGCCUGCUGGACUGCAACUGACGUUGAGGCCCGAAAGCGUGGGGAGCAAACAGGAUUAGAUACCCGUGUACC
rnacentral:rRNA from 1 species